GUAAGUUGAAUGUUUAUGACGUUGAUAUUCAACGUCAUAAACAUCUAAGUUGAAUGUUUAUGACGUUGAAUAUCAACGUCAUAAACAUCUACG